AAACUUGGAAAUUAUUCUCUUCGGUGCCGGCGAAUCCAGAAGGGUAUCAGAUUAUUAAACACCGAAUUCAGCCACUGAGAAAGCACAGUGCGACCAAAAGCAGAUGGGAAUGACACUGUUGAGAGGAGGGAGCAACUCAGAAGCCACCGUUCACUCAUGCUGAAUGCCCACCACAGGCCCGGGGUAAGCCACCUAGACUAAGAUCCAGAGAACCGGUUCUCACGUGGUGUAGUAUCAAGACAUCUUUACAGUCUCAGAUGACUGAGGACUCCUAAGAGAUUUGUUAAUGAGAGUUAUAACUACGAAUGUUUAACAUACUAGCAAUUGAGACUGAGAAAAUUUUACUUAACUUUAUUCUCCAAAAACAAUUGAGUGGAAAGAGCAGUCCUGUUUUAUACUCAGAUAGAUCCCUGUAAUGUCUGGCAGAUUCCUCUGCUCUCAUUCCACCUGCUGAGAUCAAGAUCUGUGGCUGCUGGACAGGAGACAGCCCAGGCCCCCGGGAGACAUGAGCUGGAAGAGGGGACCCGGUGCACCCAAGAGAGGGCCCUCAGAACUCACUUUGUGAACUGCUAUCUAGAGUUACCCAACAAGCGGUUCUUUUCCUUACCAGGCUCUCUGUUUCCAUCCCAGGAAUCUGGCUUCCGCCCUCCUUCAAAGCGAGGGAACUCGUCAGGAGUGGGAAGUAAACCCUUCCUUCCUCCUACACAACAGAGCAAACAGUGCUGCACUCAAGACUGUUCCCGGUAUAUUCACAACCACUGUAUUCUGCACCCUAUCCUUCCAGACCAGGUGUCCUUAGUAACUCGCUCACCUCGUGGGGUACCCCGACCUCGACCUCUGAGAUCUCGUCCUCGGGCCGCUUCCUCAGAAGCAUCAAAAUUCUCCUCUGGACCAAAGUCUUCAGGACCAGGAAAACCAUCCCUUCCUCUCGGGGGAGCACGGCCCUCAUGCCUCGGCGGGGCUCCUCUUCUGAAACUGUAAAGCGAAAACAGCAGAAUGUCCAUCUCAGGGAACACCUUGCCACUAAGUUCACGUUUCAAAAAAGCAUGUGAUAUGAGAAAGCAUGAUAUAAUGCUGAUUGGGAGGAAAACAAAAUAAAACUGUAUUUUGAAAGGA